GGCUCAGGACGAACGCUGGCGGCGUGCUUAACACAUGCAAGUCGAGCGGAAAGGCCACUUCGGUGGUACUCGAGCGGCGAACGGGUGAGUAACACGUGAGUAAUCUGCCCCUGGCUUUGGGAUAGCCACCGGAAACGGUGAUUAAUACCGGAUAUGACAUUUGACCGCAUGGUUGGGUGUGGAAAGUUUUUCGGCCAGGGAUGUGCUCGCGGCCUAUCAGCUUGAUGGUGAGGUAAUGGCUCACCAUGGCUUCGACGGGUAGCCGGCCUGAGAGGGUGACCGGCCACACUGGGACUGAGACACGGCCCAGACUCCUACGGGAGGCAGCAGUGGGGAAUAUUGGACAAUGGGCGGAAGCCUGAUCCAGCAACGCCGCGUGAGGGAUGACGGCCUUCGGGUUGUAAACCUCUUUCAGUACCGACGAAGCGCAAGUGACGGUAGGUACAGAAGAAGCACCGGCCAACUACGUGCCAGCAGCCGCGGUAAUACGUAGGGUGCGAGCGUUGUCCGGAAUUAUUGGGCGUAAAGGGCUCGUAGGCGGUUUGUCGCGUCGGGAGUGAAAACGCCGUGCUUAACACGGCGCUUGCUUUCGAUACGGGCAGACUAGAGGUAUGCAGGGGAGAACGGAAUUCCUGGUGUAGCGGUGAAAUGCGCAGAUAUCAGGAGGAACACCGGUGGCGAAGGCGGUUCUCUGGGCAUUACCUGACGCUGAGGAGCGAAAGUGUGGGGAGCGAACAGGAUUAGAUACCCUGGUAGUCCACACCGUAAACGUUGGGCGCUAGGUGUGGGGUCCAUUCCACGGAUUCCG
rnacentral:rRNA from 1 species